rnacentral:rRNA from 1 species
GACGAACGCUGGCGGCGUGCUUAACACAUGCAAGUCGAACGGAAAGGCCCUGCUUUUGUGGGGUGCUCGAGUGGCGAACGGGUGAGUAACACGUGAGUAACCUGCCCUUGACUUUGGGAUAACUUCAGGAAACUGGGGCUAAUACCGGAUAGGAGCUCCUGCUGCAUGGUGGGGGUUGGAAAGUUUCGGCGGUUGGGGAUGGACUCGCGGCUUAUCAGCUUGUUGGUGGGGUAGUGGCUUACCAAGGCUUUGACGGGUAGCCGGCCCGAGAGGGUGACCGGCCACAUUGGGACUGAGAUACGGCCCAGACUCCUACGGGAGGCAGCAGUGGGGAAUAUUGCACAAUGGGCGGAAGCCUGAUGCAGCAACGCCGCGUGCGGGAUGACGGCCUUCGGGUUGUAAACCGCUUUCGCCUGUGACGAAGCGUGAGUGAUGGUAAUGGGUAAAGAAGCACCGGCUAACUACGUG